UACGAAGGGGGCUAGCGUUGCUCGGAAUCACUGGGCGUAAAGCGCACGUAGGCGGAUUGUUAAGUCAGGGGUGAAAUCCUGGAGCUCAACUCCAGAACUGCCUUUGAUACUGGGAAGCUCGAGUCCGGAAGAGGUGAGUGGAACUCCGAGUGUAGAGGUGAAAUUCGUAGAUAUUCGGAAGAACACCAGUGGCGAAGGCGGCUCACUGGUCCGGUACUGACGCUGAGGUGCGAAAGCGUGGGGAGCAAACAGG
rnacentral:rRNA from 1 species